CUUUGGAGAGUGACAUCGUCUUAGACUGAAGAUUAUCCAAAGCAGUAUAAUUGCUGAUUGAACACUUCCCCCCAUGUCUUGUUGUAUUAGCUUGCAAUA
rnacentral:snRNA from 1 species